GUACUGUACAGACCAGAUGGACAACAUGAAGGCAAGUUGUUCUCGACCGGAAGGCACACAAUAGAGGUCCCAGUCCCCAGUGAUGGCGAGUAUGUUGUUGAGGUCCGAGCACACAGUGAAGGAGGAGAUGGAGAAGUAGCUCAAAUAAAAAUUUCAGGUGCCACUGCUGGAGUACCAACCCUCCUGCUGGUCCUGGUGGUGCCUACCCUGGGUGUCCUCGCCUGCUCGGGAUUCUGAAUGUAGCUGGAUUUACCUUGUCCUCCGCCUAACACAAAGGACUCCCUUUGAAGAUGAGGACCACGACUCUUUUUGAUUCUUGUGGCACCAUCCUAAGCCAAAUAAAUUACCCUUUAAAAUAAAUUACCCUACCGAUUUCCUAUGGACUUUAAGAGGACUGAGGCAUCCAGGAACUCCUUCAUGAAGUAAAUCAACUUUUGAAAGGCUAAGAAAUAUUUUUAACUUGUUCCAAUAUGCCUUAUGAAACACGCUGAUCUGUGACAGUUGCAUGAUUCGGUCCAAUGGGGCAAGUUACAGUGUUAAAACCCAAUAACAUAGGCUGUACAGUGAAAGUAAAAUCACCAUACGUAGGUGCUUUAACUUGAAUAACAAAUUGUGAAAUAUAAUAGAGAUUGAAAUGUUGAUUGUAUGUGAUAAAUGUAAGAGUACUACGUCUGUCUGUACUAUCCUAUAUGUUUUGUGUACUGCAUAUUUUUGAAUGGCCCCAUCAUCAUUUAUUGGGAUUACUGGGUUUUAGAGAGACAGUCAAAGCAAAAACAUUUCAUUUUUUUAGAGCUGUAUUUCUUGAGGCUAUUGGAUAGAAAUUGAAGGACUUGAAAUAAAAGUCAGUGACAAGGAACUGUUUUUUUAAAAGAUGUUCAGAAUACCCGAGACAUGCGUAGUGUGCUCAGCCUGAAGGAAUUUACCUGUGCUUCACUGACACGAGAUUUACCAUAUUCUUUUCUUAAACAGUUCUGUUGAAGUAUUCCUUCAUGGUCAUUGUUGCUGAUUUUUAGAGUGAAGUGUCAGCUUUCAGGGAAGCAGUGAAAUGUGUUGGUUUUGAUUUAGUAUUAUUACUAUUAUUAUUAUUAAGGUAGCAAUAUAUUACGUAAGAGUUUGGAGAUGGAGUCCACAUAAAGACCAGCCAAGUGGACCAUGAAAUGGUAGGAAACGCAUGUUAUUUUUUAAGGUGAAAAGAUUUAAAAUAUAAAAAAAAGAAAAAGAUAUACAAUAAAUGGCAAAAACAGAGUAGCACAGUAAAAAAAAUACUAUAUUUACAUUUUUAUGCUGCAGAUGCCAGGUGUUACCUUCCUGUAGUGAAGGUGUACAUUUGGGAGAAUUAUAUGCUUUUUCAAGAACUUGAUAUUAUUCUAAUGUUCAUAGUGUUGUAAAUAAGAGUUUUAAAGUUCUGAGACCGUCUCCCUAUUUGAUAGAAUACUGGAUGAUCCAACUGUGUGUUGAUAUAUGGAAGUCAGCUCCCAACAGUUAGUCAAAUCUAAAUGUUUACUAUGGCCUUUGCAAAAUGGGAACUCUAUUAGAGAUAGAGAAUGUUUUUGUUCUGACUGUGUCUGGAGUGUUUCAGUGUUGGGUUUUUUGUUGGUUUGUUUGGGUUUUUUUAAGUUGUUAAAGAAAUGCACAUUACUUUCACUUUCCAUGGUGUGCCGGGAAUUAGUUCAAGUGUGAAUGUUGAAGAAACACAGUGAUAUUGAAUCAGCUGGCUCAAGUAAUAGUGCAAUGUCUGAUGCUUCAAGAAUUAUAAGCUUUGAAUCAUAUUUUAUUAGCACAACCUUGCUAGCUACUUAGAAAUAGAGUUUAUCUUUUUAGAACUGAUACUGUAGAGGUCCAUAAUUAAAAUAUUUACAGGAAGCAAGAAUAGGUCUAUUAAUAACUUACACCCACUUCUUUUAUUUGUAUAAUUUUGUACUAUAUAUUUACAUGUAAAAGUGUAGAGUCUUCAUUAAGAAAUAUCAAUAAUACUGGUUUAGUUUAAUUUUAACUAUUUGUUAAAAGAUGAAAUUUUUUUAAGAGGUGAAAGUGAUAACUUCCCUAUAGAGGAAUGUCAAAGUGUCAAACACUACUGAGUUUCAUAAAUUGUAUAAUUAUUUGAAAGAGAAAAGAGCUGUCUUCAUACAUAACAAACUAAUAUGCUGUAAGCCUUCUAUACAAAAAAAAAUGUGGUUUAUUGUGUUUCAUUUUGUUUGGUUAUUUUGCAGGAUGACUCAUUUUUAUAUAACGUACAACCACAACUAAAUCUUUUGCCAAAUGCAUGAUUGCCUUUUACUUUUCUAAUACCUGGUGUAAAAAGCAAAACUGUUUAGUUUUUGCAUGGAAAUGACCUGGGAAGGAAAGCCACUUCUUUUUUUAAGUCAGCUAAAGUGAUGAGGUAGGUCUCACAUUCUGAUCAGAUAGGUGGAGAUUUUUCUGUUUCAUGUAGGUGUGUAAAUUUGACGGGACCUUCAGUUUCAAAUUGUUGUCAAGAAAAACUAAUGUAUCAUCCGCUUUAAAACGCAAGGUUCGUAAUUAAAGUUUACAUAGAUAGACAUAUUUGUUGUUUCUUUAUAUUUCAGGAAACUUGAUAUUACUCUUAUUUGAUACUGAUGAAUAUUGAACUGGUUUUUUAGUUACUUUUUAUCUUUUUUUUUUUUUCAGAUUAGUAGAGCAGGACUGUGCUUUGUCCUUUUUAUGAAUGAAAAGUAAAUUACAAUUAAAUAAAUGUAUUAAUGUUA